rnacentral:rRNA from 1 species
AUUGAACGCUAGCGGGAUGCCUUACACAUGCAAGUCGAACGGAGUGGCGAACGGGUGAGUAAUGUAUCGGAACGUGCCCAGUAGCGGGGGAUAACUACGCGAAAGCGUAGCUAAUACCGCAUACUAUUGGAGCGGCCGAUAUCGGAUUAGCUAUUGGGUGGGGUAACGGCUCACCAAGGCGACGAUCCGAAGCUGGUUUGAGAGGACGACCAGCCAAACUGGGACUGAUACAUGGCCCAGACUCCUACGGGAGGCAACAGGGGGGAAUUUUGGACAAUUGGGGAAACCCUGACCCAGCAAUCCCGCGUGUGAGAGGAAGGCCUUCGAGUUGUAAGACACUUUUGGCAGGAAAGCGGUACCUGCAGAAUAAUCACCGGCUAACUACGUGCCAGCCGCCGCGGUAAUAC